GAUGAACGCUGGCGGCGUGCCUAAUACAUGCAAGUCGAGCGAACAGAUAAGGAGCUUGCUCCUUUGACGUUAGCGGCGGACGGGUGAGUAACACGUGGGUAACCUACCUAUAAGACUGGGAUAACUUCGGGAAACCGGAGCUAAUACCGGAUAACAUUUGGAACCGCAUGGUUCUAAAGUGAAAGAUGGUUUUGCUAUCACUUAUAGAUGGACCCGCGCCGUAUUAGCUAGUUGGUAAGGUAACGGCUUACCAAGGCAACGAUACGUAGCCGACCUGAGAGGGUGAGCGGCCACACUGGAACUGAGACACGGUCCAGACUCCUACGGGAGGCAGCAGUAGGGAAUCUUCCGCAAUGGGCGAAAGCCUGACGGAGCAACGCCGCGUGAGUGAUGAAGGGUUUCGGCUCGUAAAACUCUGUUAUUAGGGAAGAACAAACGUGUAAGUAACUGUGCACGUCUUGACGGUACCUAAUCAGAAAGCCACGGCUAACUACGUG
rnacentral:rRNA from 1 species